rnacentral:rRNA from 1 species
AUCGGAAUGGGUACAAUUUAAACCCUUUAACGAGGACCUAUGAGAGGGCAAGUCUGGUGCCAGCAGCCGCGGUAAUUCCAGCUCUCAAGGUGUAUAUCGCCAUUGCUGCGGUUAAAAAGCUCGUAGUUGGAUCUGCGCCUUCGGACUCGGUCCGCCCAACGGGUGUGAACUGAGAUCCAAGGCUUAUACUGCUGGUUUUCCCUUGAUGCUCUUUACUGGGUGUCUUGGGUGGCUAGCGAGUUUACUUUGAAAAAAUUAGAGUGCUUAACACAGGCUAUCGCCUGAAUACUUGUGCAUGGAAUAAUAGAAUAAGACCACGGCUCUAUUUUAUUGGUUUUCGGAACUGUGAUAAUGGUUAAGAGGGACAGACGGGGGCAUUCGUAUCGCUGCGUGAGAGGUGAAAUUCUUGGACCGCAGCGAGACGCCCUACUGCGAAAGCAUUUGCCAAGAAUGUCUUCGUUAAUCAAGAACGAAAGUCAGAGGUUCGAAGGCGAUCAGAUACCGCCCUAGUUCUGACCGUAAACGAUGCCAACUAGCGAUCCGCCGGUGGUAAUUACGCCCCGGCGGGGAGCUUCCCGGAAACGAAAGUCUUCCGGUUCCGGGGGAAGUAUGGUUGCAAAGCUGAAACUUAAAGGAAUUGACGGAAGGGCACCACCAGGAGUGGAGCCUGCGGCUUAAUUUGACUCAACACGGGAAAACUCACCCGGCCCGGACACCGUAAGGAUUGACAGAUUGAGAGCUCUUUCUUGAUUCGGUGGUUGGUGGUGCAUGGCCGUUCUUAGUUGGUGGAGCGA